GCCCAGCAGGUUAGUUCAUUUCUUUCUGAUUGGCCCUUGUCCUUCUUAUUCCCGCCUCUGCAGGUAUACUGAGAAUUAUGAUUGGAUGAAGGGGUGGAGUUUAGAGCUGCAGAUCGGUGUGAGAGUUUAGUUAACGAUGUGACUGGGAGGAAUUCAUGGACCAGUUGGGACUUACCUCGGACGGGCUUUGGAGUAUCGUUGCUAUGGCGAUAAAGGAUCGGUUCGGUAGAGGAGGGACUACAGAAAGAUCUACAGCUUCAGAGGAGGGAAUUUGGUGUUCCAGCCGCCUGGGAAGCCGUUCAGCCGACCAGAGUCCGCUCUUCCAGAACCAGAACCCAUGCAGGUGGAUCCUACUGGUGUCUCACUGUCAGAGCGUCAUGGAAGACUUACUCUAGGAUCGUGUCUAUACUGUGGAGCAUCGGGGCAUACCAUCAUCUCAUGCCCCAUUCGCCCACCACCACCACCACACCUGUCUCAGCCCUCCUCCAUUCAGGAUUAACUAAUUAAACCACAUAAGUCCGUCCCACACCACUGUAUUAUUAGAUAAAGUGCUGUGAUCUUAUAUGAUAAAACAUUUACUAAGGUGUUAAUACGAUCAAUUCUGUUAUGUUUACAAUGUUAACAAACUUAUUGAUGCUGUACCUGUUCCAUCCUCCACAUUUUGCUCACCUAGUUUGUCUGGCACAUCCUUCUCUACCUUUUCACACAAAUGGACACUGAGCUGCUCACUAGGGAGGAAUCACGUAUGAAAGUUACCACUUACUUACUUGUUCCCCUCCCUACAAGCUUGUUUAAAUCCUGUUUGUAUUCAUUGUGCCCUGCUGUUCUCAGUAUUGUAAAUGAUUCCCUGCAUACUGGUGUUGUGCCAGCAGCAUUGACUGGUGACUGGUUUUGUCUGUACGGGUGUUCCUCAGGGUUCCAUCUUAGGCCCCUUACUUUUUAGCAUGUACAUAUUUCUACUUGGAUUGCUUUAAAGAUCACUUGGGCUUAAUUAGCACUUUUAUGCAGACCACAACCAUUUUUAACACGCUGUAUUGCUGAGAUAAAAAUGUGGGUGUCUCAAAAUUGUUUGUGCCUCAACGCUGAUAAGACAGAGCUUGUCUUGCUUAUUGGUCGUCCCUCACCAGCUUCACAAAGCUGGUUCACUGUUUCUAAACGUAGACGGCUCUGUUCUGGAAGUACAAACCCAAUGAAAAAAUCUAGUAGUAAUCUUGGAUUCAAGUUUGUCUUUUGACCCUCACGUUCGGCACAUUGUAAAGAACUCAUUAUUUCAUCUCAGAAAUAUUGCUAGACUUCACCCUAUGUUAUCUCACUCAGUGACUGAAAGGCUUAUUAAGACUUUUGUGUUCUCCCGCUGUGACUAAAUCCACACUUAAUAAACUGCAAUGUGUGCAAAAUUCAGCUGCUAGGAUCCUGACUGGGGUCAGGCAAAAUGAGCACAUUACACCAAUUCUCAAGUCCUUGCUGAUAAAAAUAAAACUAAUAGAAAAUAUAUAAAUUACAUAGAAAUUUCUAUACUUCUGCACAAAUAAAGACGGACUUACUUUAUCUGGCUGUUGCACUUGCUGAUGCAUCGCUGCCGGCUGUGCCGCAUCCACCGCCUGCUUCACCGCAUUGGGAAGCAACUCCUCGAGUGCUCCCCUUACCGUUUCCCGGCAGUUGCAGACGGGUGGAAGCGGCUGCCCAGUUUGGUCGGAGACCACCCUUCUACGCCGAACCGGACUAAUUGGGCGAGGGGAUGUCAUUGUGAACUGUAAGAGAAUGAGUAACACCCACCUAGCGGCUGCUCUAUUUAUAAGCUGACAUUAUAAUUACGCACAAAUUAAACGUGUGUUAUUGGUCAUUUCCCUCUUCCUCCUGCUCCUCCUACACACUCAUUGGCUAAAAUCUUUGUGACAGAAGAACCGAUCUGAAACACGCCGUAGAAUUCCAGCCUCAGUCCGUCAUUCUGUUCUACACCACAUAAUUAUUAUUAUUAUUAAAUAAUAAUGAAUGAAGACAUGAGACACAGAAGACAUGUUUGUGUUCUGUUUAUUUUAAUAGUUUUAAUAGUUAAAUUGUUCAUUGUUGCACACGGAAAAUCUGCCAAAUCAAAAAGGACAAAGAAAUAAUUGACCUUGAAAAAGUCUGAAGCUUAUUUAAAGACUGGAACACAACUGACUGGAACACAUUGUCAUCUGUCCUUUUUGUGUUGGUAAAUCUGACAAACAUGUCUUCUGUGUCUCAUGUCUUCAUUUAUGUCUGUGUUGGUACCUGAAUCUGUAGCUGUUUACUGCUCCACAUAUUCAUAUUUGUAUCUGUAUGUAUAAAGUCUGAUUUAAACCAUG